GAAACCAGAGGCCUUGAACCAGACCAGUGACUCAUUGCAAUGAACAUGUACUAGCAAAGCUGAUGGAACAAAGGGUGUAUUAUAUGACGCACUGAGGCCCCCCAGUGUUACUAGGACAAAUGAAGAGGUGCUGGAGAGGGGUGCUGCAGGGCUGAGGGGAGGAUAUGGAGGAGAUACCAGGAAGUGAGCAGAAUUGGAGUAUAUGAAAUGGCACUCCCAAAGAAUCAAUAAAAAAGCUCCUCCCGGUCCAGUCACUAGUGACCUGCUCAGAAGACCAGAAGCUGCUGUGAGCGCCUGCCAAGGAGGGGCUGAUGGCCUCCAUGGAGGCAGAACAUACUGCUUUUUGUUGUUGUUCCCCAUGGAGAGGCCCUUUCAUGUCUGAAUCCUGACGUUCUCUGGGUCCAGUGAGUCCUGGUGAGAACCUGCUAGUACUGGGCCUGUGACUGGGCUCCCAAAGGGCCCUGUGGAACUUCCAUUUCCACACCCAGGAGACUUGGAAAACCACACACACUUUUAUUCAUCUUUUAAGUAGGCUGUGUUUCAGCCCCUGCCUCCAGGUUCCUGCCCUACACGGUUCCGGGUUCUGCCUUGGCUACACUCAGUGGUUGACUGUGACCUGGAAGCUAAUAAACCCUUUC